AUGGAUCCACCACAGCGUAACCGGGCAACUGGACGGAGAAAAGAGGGCGAUGAGAAGAAGAAACGUGUUCGCAACAGAGCCUCCCAGGAACGUCUGACUCUGUUGAUUGAAAAAUUAACCGACGAUCGAAAGGGGGUUGCUGCUGAGAUGGGUAUGCAGGCUCUGAUGGAUGUCCGGUGCACGAACCUUGUCAACCCUGUAUGCGACUGGCUUGGUGAGAUCUACGAGCCUGCCUCCAGGGAAUUCGUGAUUCCGGGACGCGGAAGACUUCCGUUGAAUGAGGAAUCCAUGUUCUGCACUUUGGGUGUGCCUCGUGGACAUAUCAAAGUCCCGUACGGGGUCAAUAAUGAGAUCGAGGAAGCGAUGUUCGCCUGUUUGUUUCCUGGAUUGGAGUCCAUGCCGAACACGUCUGUACUGGCAGAUUCGCUGCAGGCCAUGACGAUGCAUGGAGAUGUUUUCAAGAUGAAGCUACUCAUGUACCUCAUCUCAGCUGUUUUCGCGCCGACCACUUCCCUUCGCCCAAGCAACAAAUGUUUCCCCAUCCUGGCGAAUCUGAAAAAUGUGAAGAACAUGAACUGGUGUAAGUUUAUUGUCGACUUUCUCCAUGAUGCUUUCAAAAACAAGAUGUACCAGAAGGGUUGUCGACUGCAUUUAAUGCUCAUGUAUGUCGACUGUCUUGAUCUGUCCACCAUGGAUUUCUCUGGGGUAGGAGGCCGGCCGCCUACGCACAAGUUUGCUAUUUCUCCAUGGACCAUCAACGCUGUCAAGGCUGUGCUUGCCGCAGACAGGGCAACUGAUACCACAUAUUGGAAACUACAGGUUAGUUUUUGUUUAUCUCUUCACACGGCAUGCUUACAAAUUUGA
rnacentral:rRNA from 1 species